rnacentral:rRNA from 1 species
UACAGAGGGUGCAAGCGUUGUUCGGAAUUACUGGGCGUAAAGCGUGCGUAGACGGUUAUUUAAGUCAGGUGUGAAGGCCCCGGGCUCAACCUGGGAAUUGCAUUUGAGACUGAAUAGCUAGGGUGCGGAAGAGGGAAGCGGAAUUUCCGGUGUAGCGGUGAAAUGCGUAGAUAUCGGAAGGAACACCAGUGGCGAAAGCGGCUUCCUGGUCCAGCACCGACGUUCAGGCACGAAAGCGUGGGGAGCAAACAGG